GACCACUGCUGGCUGUGCGACUGAGUCUUUCAACACGGCUGGUCUGUCUGGUCAAGCUAUAGGCUUACUUAAUGGUGUUGUGGAAAAAACUUUGGAUCCUUUGUUGAAUACUGUGAUAGACACCGUGGGAACUCUUUUAGGAGGCAUUUUAAACCCCAUUCUUUGUAACAAGG